rnacentral:lncRNA from 1 species
GUCCAGAGGGCCCCUCCUGCCCGCCACGUUUCCUUCCUGCUGGGGGGCUUCUGUUCUCCCAGACCGGGUCGGUGCUCUUUUCCCCCGGCGCCCCUCCCCCACCCAGCCCGGGCCUUGCCUGCCGCAGCCACCUUCUUCUCUGAUGCUGUGUCCUGGACUUGGUGACAAUGGCAAAUUGACAAGAAGGCGAGCCUGGGCCUUUCCUGCGGCGACAUCCAGCUUCCCCCGCCCCUCCCUGGGUGGGUGCCCACCACACGCCCAGCCUGCCGCGUGCUUAUCCAGGCCCUCCAGGCCAGGCCUCCGGGUCUUAUGGAAGAAGGCCCCGUGUCUGGGCAGUGCCGUGGCUGUGAGUGAGCAUCCGGGGCCAGUCAGAUGUGCCGUCUCCGGAGGUCACUUCCAUAGUGGCCAUCAACAGCUUGGCCAAACUCGGCCGCAGGAUCUUUUCCUAUCAAUUGCAGGAUGGACUCUUCCCGCAGCCAUGCGACCUGUGGCCCGCGGUCCUGCUCCCUGAGCUGGAGGAGGCUGAACAGAAUGAGCAGGUUGAGGCCUGUGGGAAGGAAGAGCCACAUCUCCUUCAUGUUUAUUACCCCCUCCGCAGGCCAUAGCUAGGAGGCCUUGAAGGUUUUUUUAAGGGGGAAAGGGGGUUUCCAGAACCACAGCCGGCUCAGCAGAAAGUCUCCACCAACAGAAUCUGUGGGCGCACAUUCCUCAACAGCUGAAGAAGGGGCUGGAGGGGCUCAUGGCAUCCCCUCCAGAGGCAGGCCCAGGGCCCUGUGUGCAGUGGGGGGUCCUGCAUCUGCAUUGUUGUUAAGAAAGUGACAUUUGGCUACAUGGAGUGACUCAUGCCUGUAAUCCCAGCACUUUGGGAGGCUGAAGCUGUCAGAUUGCUUGGGCCCAGGAGUUCGAGAUCAGCCUGGGCAACUUGGUGAAACCUCAUUUCUUUUUUUUUGAGACAGGGUCUCACUCUGUAGCCAAGACUGGAGUGCAGUGGCACAAUCUCGGCUCACCGCAACCUCCACUUCCCAGGCUCAAGUGAUUCUCCUGACUCAGCCUCCCGAGUAGCUGGGAUUACAGGUGUGCACCACCACGCCUGACUAAUUUUUGUAUUGUUAGUAGAGACGGGGUUUCACCAUGUUGGCCAGGUUGGUGUUGAACUCCUGACUUCAAAUGAUCCACCUGCCUUGGCCUCCCAAAGUGCUGGGAUUACAGGCCUGAGCCACUGCGCCCGGACUUUUUUUUUUUUUUGAGAUGGAGUUUCGCUCUGUCACCCAGGCUGGAGUGUGGUGGCAUGAUCUCGGCUCACUGCAACCUCCACCUCCCAGGGUCAAGUGAUUCUCCUGGGUCAGCCUCCGGAGUAGCUGGGAUUACAGGGCCUCGAGGGCGAGACUUCGGCUCACAGCUGUAUCCCAGGGCCUAGAACUGUGUCUGACAUAUACCAGGAAGUAUUUUUUGAUGCUCUUGCAUCUGGGGCUGACCCAACACUGCUCAUCCCAUGUGGUCAUUGCUGGCUUACAGUUUUUCUUCCCAGGGUCUCCCCAAGAGCUGCUUCCUUUGACUCCUGCUGUGUGUAGUUCUGCUGACAAUGACCUGGACAGCUCUGCGCCAUGCACAGCGUCUCUUUUCUCCGACUUACCAAAUUUUAGACACUACUGACUCCUCCAUGUGAAAGAUGGGAAUUCAGCUACAUCACAUUACCCUACAAACUUUAUUGUUAAUAUUUCUUCCCGGUCAGCCCCAAACACUGAAUGUAAAUACGGUCCAACAUCAACCUGCAAACGAACACUGACAUGAAAGUGCAGUUGGAAAGGAUCUCGCAAAGGAACAGAAUCUGGUGAUCCUAAUCGUAAUGAACGUGAUCGCCGGGUAUUGAGAGCUUGCAGGUACCAGGGCUCCGGCACUACGUGUUUCACAGGGGCCACUCGGUAGACCUCUUGGUGACCUUGAGGUCAGGUACCACGUUCCCAUUUUACAGAGGAGGAAACUGAGAUAACCUACGACAGCGAAAAGGUAGCAGAGCUGGGACUGGUGCCCAGGCUCGCCGAGUGGAAAAGCCCUCGGCCACCGUGGAGAGCUCGCUUCCUGUGGUCUGAAGCGUCGCCCCUGCACCGGCUUCUGCUGCCAAGGAUGGCUUUUCCUCACUGGUGCCCACCUACGCUCACUUGUGUCAUGUGGUUAAGCCCUUUUGGCAACAUAAGACCUUUCCCAAGAAUGUGCCUCGGUGCAGAGGAAGACGGUGGGGGCAGGCCCCCUCCCCGGGAUGCUCCACCCUCCCUGACCUCACACGGGUGCAACCUGGGCCGUGGCCGAGACCUGCUGUGUGGCAGACAAUGGGAAGCCUGUGUGUCGUCCUGGGUGCCGGAUUUAGACAAUAUUUAGCUUUCCCUUGGUGGAAAAGCCUUUCCCCUCCUGCUUUGGGCAGGAACUGGUUCCUGUUGGGCGGGGCCUGGCUGCUGCCCCACCCCCACCCGGCCGGGCACCUUGACCGGCAGCUCUCCGGGCUGCUCCCUGCCUGUGUCCCUGAGCACUGACUCCAGAGGUUUAAUCAUUAACGGGCACGUUUGGCCUUCGGUCGUGGGCUGGAAUUUGGGACCUGUGCCCGGGAACAAUGAUCUCCGACACAUUAUUUUGUGUAAAAUCACUUUUAGCUGCCAUUAGCUAAUAAAGCUGGAAUAAAGUGAGGUCCAU